UACAGAGGUCUCAAGCGUUGUUCGGAUUCAUUGGGCGUAAAGGGUGCGUAGGUGGUGGCGCAAGCCUGGUGUGAAAUCUCGGAGCUUAACUCCGAAAUGGCACCGGAUACUGCGUUACUCGAGGACUGUAGAGGAGAUCGGAAUUCACGGUGUAGCAGUGAAAUGCGUAGAUAUCGUGAGGAAGACCAGUUGCGAAGGCGGAUCUCUGGGCAGUUCCUGACACUGAGGCACGAAGGCCAGGGGAGCAAACGGG
rnacentral:rRNA from 1 species